rnacentral:rRNA from 1 species
CGGACAGAAGGGAGCUUGCUCCCGGAUGUUAGCGGCGGACGGGUGAGUAACACGUGGGUAACCUGCCUGUAAGACUGGGAUAACUCCGGGAAACCGGAGCUAAUACCGGAUAGUUCCUUGAACCGCAUGGUUCAAGGAUGAAAGACGGUUUCGGCUGUCACUUACAGAUGGACCCGCGGCGCAUUAGCUAGUUGGUGGGGUAAUGGCUCACCAAGGCGACGAUGCGUAGCCGACCUGAGAGGGUGAUCGGCCACACUGGGACUGAGACACGGCCCAGACUCCUACGGGAGGCAGCAGUAGGGAAUCUUCCGCAAUGGACGAAAGUCUGACGGAGCAACGCCGCGUGAGUGAUGAAGGUUUUCGGAUCGUAAAGCUCUGUUGUUAGGGAAGAACAAGUGCGAGAGUAACUGCUCGCACCUUGACGGUACCUAACCAGAAAGCCACGGCUAACUACGUGCCAGCAGCCGCGGUAAUACGUAGGUGGCAAGCGUUGUCCGGAAUUAUUGGGCGUAGAGGGCUCGCAGGCGGUUUCUUAAGUCUGAUGUGAAAGCCCCCGGCUCAACCGGGGGAGGGUCAUUGGAAACUGGGAAACUUGAGUGCAGAAGAGGAGAG